AAAGUGUGUACGCAGACCUUACCCCUACCCUUGAGUAGAGAUGCUGUUUUCAAAUAGACCACCGACAUCCUUCCCUCCAACAAAUUCACAAUUGACAGCCUUUAGACAAAAAGAAAACACCUUAUCCAUCUGAGAACAAGCGCCGCAGGGACCGAAAAAGAAGGGAAUCCCUUUUUCUUCAACACCCAAAAGGACACAAAUGUUGCUCCUUCUUCAUCCACACAUCAGACCAUCUUCAUCAUCUGCAAAGAUCAAAUCCGCCAACCUUUCCCCAUUUUCGAACCAAAACGGCACGCUGCCGAGCUUCCCCUUUCAAAAAGCAAUCAGCCUGCUUCAGCCAUGAAAGACUAUGACUCCAGCUCAGGAAAUGGGCAAUGGAAAGGCUCCAUAUACAGUCUAUAAAUAUCCUCUAAACCCUUCUGAAACAGACCCUAAUGAAUCCCAAAAUUUCAUAUCCUGAUCUGAAGAAGGGAAAAUAGAAAACCAAAAAAUAUAAAACAAAAAAUUAAAGGUGGAGGUUUGAAGUCGCUGCUCUUCUGCUGUUGCUAAGGAAAUGACUGAGCUCUAAUUGUAGCAGUUAUUUUCAGCUUUGGUAAGGAUUUUGUUCACGUUGCAUUUUAUUUAAGAGGUAAACUCAGAAAACUCUAUUGUAUCUUGCUAUAUUUUAUUAAUGAUUGGACUCCUCUUUCCUGCUCGAGAUCUGUCUAAAUGUUAAUUCUGUGUUGUUUGACUGUUAAAUGAUUUGAAGAGUUUAUUGUUGGAGAAAUUCUAUGUAUCUGGAAUUCAGGAAUGAAAUUGAUAUGGAUUCUUUCUUCUUCCCUUUGAUUCGUUAUCGAGGUAUAGUUGUAAUAGUCGUUUAUGUGGUCUUUGAGUACGGAAAAUGGGUGUUUCUAUUUUGAACUGAAAAUUGAUCUGUUGGUGUUUGUUUCUUCUUUGUCGAUUACGGUUUACGAUGGAUUAAUAUAAUAUAAUCAUGUUGCAACUUUGAUGUGUAUGACAAGUAGCUUCAGAAAAUCUAAAGAUAACAGACUCCUUUGUAUAUAAGCAUAAGCAGGUACAUUAGUUCUGUUGGUAUGUGUCCAUAACCUUUUAUCUUAUUCUACUUAUGUUUCCAUAAAUAAUUGAGGCGAGUAAUGCCAAAUAAACUCUCAAAACUCAUGACCCUCACUUAAUUAAUCUUAACUCUUUAGAAAUUGAGGUCGUUAGUGAAUUUUCCAUGGCCCUCUAAAUUAAAAAAUGCGUAGUUGCUUUAGGCGCGUUGUUUUAUAAUAUACCUGCCUAAACUCGGGCGUGCAUUUCAUGUGACCCAAAUCCAAAUCCUAAAACGUUGAAUAAAAUAUGUCUUGGAUUGCGGGUGUAUUUCAUGUGACGCGAUCCAAAAACAUACUUUAGACAAUGUUCAAUUUUCUUUAAAAUAUAUUAAAAGCGGUAAAAAAUAGUUUAAAAUUGCACCAUAGGCUAAAACAUGUAUAAAAAUUGAAUAAUAGGCCAACUGUAAUAGUUUAAGUGGUCGUGCUAGAACCACGGAAUCCGAGGAUGCCUAACACCUUCCCUCAGGUUAACAGAAUUCCUUAUUCAGAAUUUCUAGUUCGCAGAUUUCAAAAGGAAAAAAUCAUACUCAAUUUGGGAUUUAAAAAUAAAUUGGUGACUUGAGACACCAAAUAAACUAUCUUAAGUGGCAACUCUGAAAAUAAAAAUAAAAAAAUAAUCUCAUUUCGAAUAAUGUCACUUUAAUUGGAAAAACUCCCUUUUACGUUUAUCCUUUGGGGGUAUUCGUGUAAAAGGAGGUGUGACGGAGAGCAUCCAACCUGGUUAUGAGGUAGGUGGUGAAGGCCUGCGGGUAAUGCCUCAAUUUUUGAGCAACCCAAGUUAGAGCACAGCAGGUUCUUUCCAGCAAAGUGUACUUGGCCUCAUAGCUUGUGAAUUUCUUACUUAGGUAGUAUAUUGCCUGCUCUUUCUUUCCAGUGAUGUCGUGUUGCCCCAGAACGCAACUGAAGGAACUUUCCAAGUCUGUCAGGUACAGAAACAGUGGCCUCCCUGGCUCAGGUGGAACCAAAACUGAUGAGUUGGACAAGUGGUCUUUAAUUUUAUCGAAAUCCUUUUGACAGUCAUCCGUCCAUUUGAUCGCUGCAUCUUUCCUUAGCAAUUUGAAUAUGGGCUCACAUGUGGAAGUCAGUUGAGCGAUGAAUCGACUAAUAUAAUUCAAUCUUUCCAACAAGCUCAUUACGUCUUUUUUGGUCUUUGGAGGAGGUAAAUCUCAAAUAGACUUUAUCUUAGUCGGAUCUAGCUCAAUAUCUCUCCGGCUGACUAUGAAUCCUAGAAGUUUGCCUAACGGGACCCCGAACGCACAUUUCGCUGGGAUCAAUUUCAAAUCAUAUAUGUGCAUCUGUUCGAAGAACUUUCGUAGAUCCCGCACAUGUUCAUCCUAAGUUUUGGACUUGAUGAUCACGUCGUCCACAUACACCUCUAUUUCCUGAUACAUCAUAUCAUGGAAGAUGGUAGUCAUGGCUCUCCUAUAGAUUGCUCCAGCGUUCUUCAGUCUGAAAGGCAUUACCCUGUAGUAGUAGGUUCCCCAAGGUGUGGCAAAGGUGGUUUUCUCUGCGUCCUCUUCAUCCAUAAACACCUGGUGAUAUCCUGCGUAACUUGGCGCAACUAUCAAUAAGGAUGCGGAUUUUAGGAAAUGGAAAGUUGUCUUUGGGGCUUGGUUUGUUCAAAUCUCUAUUGCAGAGACUUUCCCAACCCUUUUCCUGGCUUAUAUCCAUGUCGUAUCAUCUCCCUGGCCACCAUAAUGGAUGCAUUAGAAAGGAGGUUGGGGGCAGGGUUUUCCCUCUUCAUAAUGGUCGGCUACCAUAACUUCAAAGGCCUAAUACACUAUGUGCUCACUGCCUUCCUUCGCUUCAAGGCGUGGGGCAGACGGAUCUCGAUAGAUUGAUUGUUCAUCCUCUCCAUGGACUACGAUCUCCUGAUCUUCAUGCUCAAAUUCAACAAUUUGAUGGAGAGUAGAGGGAACAACUCCUGCUGUAUGAAUCUAAGGCCUCCCCAGAAGGUAGUUGUAAGAUGUAUCCAUGUCCAGCACUUGGAAGGUUACCUCAAAGUCCACUAGUUUAAUGGUCAAAAUCAGAUCGAUUUCCCCAAUUGUGUCCCUCUUAAUACCAUCUAAAGCUCGCACACAGACAUUGUUGGGACGAAUCCUUCCAGUCCCAAUUUCCAUCCACUGGAGUGUAGAGAGUGGGAAAAUGUCUAUCACCGAACCCCCGUCUACCAUGACCCUCUUCACAUAAUAUCCGUCACAUUUGACAUUUAAAUGCAACACUUUGUUGUGAGCAGCCCCUUCCUGGGGAAAGUUAGUUUCACUGAAUGAAAUUUGAUUGAUGGCAAAAAAUCUUUCUGCCAUCCUUUCUAACUGCUCCAUUGAAGUUUCAGCUGGCACAUAGGCUUCAUUCAAGGUCUUCAUUAAAACCUUAUGGUGUUCGGAAGACUUCAUCAGCAUAGACAGCAAGGACACUUGUUCAGGAUACUUUCACAGUUGAUCAACCACUUCAUAGUCCGCCAUCUUCAUUUUCUUAAAGAAAGUUUCUUGCUCUUCAGGACUUCCAAGUUUCUUAGACGGGAAACGCUUUCUAGUGGCAUUGUUUACUUCUUCCACGUUGGAGUAUUUCUCAACGGGAUGGUUUUCUUGAAGCUCCCCUGAGAUCUCUUUGCCUUGUACGUAGCCAUUAUUUUAUGAUAAUUCCACGGUACUGCAGUACGAUCUAUCAUAGGCUGUUGUGCCGCGCGUCCAAUAACCAUGGGCUCGUUCGGCCUUGAUGGCUUUAUUGUCUCUUGUACCACAUAAGCUCCAUUGGGUAAGUACAUUUGGGUGGCCUUCUUCAGUUCAAGCCUCUUUGGAGGGCUCAAAGUCAGCUAUUUUUCUUUACGGCCUCGUGGGACAUAAAGAAUCCCAUCUUUGGGAGGCAUCACCUCUGUGCUUGUUUCAACUUUCUUUUCUGGUUCUGUCUUGGUGACUUUGUUCUUCUUGCUCCAAUUGAUGUGCGCAGAGGCAUCACCUCUGUGCUUGUUUCAACUUUCUUUUCUGGUUCUGUCUUGGUGACUUUGUUCUUCUUUUCCUCUUUAUCUUGUUUUGGGGCGCUUUUUGGCUUUGUCUCUGCAUCUGUGAUGGCAAUUAUGGCUUUUAGUGCCGGAUCAAAUUCUUUAUCUUCACAAAUCAUCCCAAUCACUGGCCCGUUGUUGUGGGUUGGCAAUAGAUUAUUAAUCACGUUGGGGACAUCCUCAUCACUUAGAACUAAUUUGCCUUUCUCUGUCAAGUUUUCCACCGCUCUUUCUAGGGUCCAACAAUCAUUUGUAUUGUUCCCUUCUGCUCUUGAAUGAUAGGCAUAUCUGGCACCAGCUUUCUAAGCGCGCGAUGCUGGGUUUUACCUUGUUUGAGGAACUAGUUGCAACAGGACCAUUUGGACAAGUUUUGGAAAUAGAUUGGAGUAAGACUCACCAAUUGGAGUAAACGUUUGCCUACUGGGUGAAUCACGGGGAGGAAAAUUAUUCUAUGGAGGACGGGGAUUAUUGUGAUUCUGUGGAGGAGGCUAAUUUCUUGGAUAUGGAGCUUGGUUUUUAUUGGCAUGUUAUUGCGUUCGUACAAAAGGUUGAGCAUUCAUGACCGCAUAUGGUUGAGGAGCAUAAGCCAUGUCUUGAUGAGGGUAAUAAUGCUGAGGGGAUCUGUCUGAGAACAUGGGUCUAGGAGCGCGGUGUCUCCUUGCACCCGAGGCCGACAUGGCUGUUUCUUCUUUUUUCUUACCUUUCAUCACUCCUCCAGACCCGCCUUGGAUGGCUUGGGAGGUUGCUCAAAUAGCUGAUUGGCUCAAAAUUCUUCCUAUUUUCAGUCCAUUCUCUACCAUCUCACCAAUUUUAAUAGCCUUGCCCCAUGGCUGACAUCAUAUUCUGGAAAUAAUCAGCCUCCUGAGCUUGAAGAAAUACAGUGACAUUUCCAUUUCAUCCAUUGGGGGUUUCACCCUUGACGCAUGUUCACGCCAUUUGAUUGCAUACUCCCGAAAACUUUCUGAUGGCUUAUUCUUUAGAUUUUCCAGCGAGUUUCGAUCUGGAGCAAUAUCGAUAAUGUACUGGAACUAUUGAACAAAGUCUCUUGCAAGAUCAUCCCAGAUGUGCCACCGAUAAAUAUCCUGAUCCAUGUACCACUCGGAGGCGAUACCCACCAAACAUUCCCCAAAAUCAGCCAUGAGCAAUUCUUCUUUUCCUCCAGCUCCGCGCAACUGAUUACAGUAUUUCUUAGGAUAGGCAGUAGGGUCACCAUGCCCAUCGUACUUUUCAAAUGUUGGAGUUUUGAAUCGCACAGGAAAUUGCACGUGAGAGAACAACACAAAUCAGUAUAUGACACACUUUUCUGUCCACUUAGCCCCUACAUGUUUUUGAGGCUUUACUCUAGGCUUCUUAUCCUCUUUUCCAUUUCUUCCUCUUUCGGAGUUUAUGGAGUCUUUAUCUGUCCCGUUGUGAACUCAAAUGGAUGUGGCUGCGAAUAAGUAUAGGCGGGACACAGAAUAGGCUCCAUUUGAGGGGUGAGUGUUUGGAACGCAAAAGGUUGAAGGAUCAAAGGUAGGCCUUGGCAAUGCAGGCUGUGUUGUAGCUGCACAUAGUGGAGCAAUAAAGAUGUUUGGGACUGCAUUGGGUAUAGCCAUCGGGGGGCGAACCUCUGAAGGUGUUCCCACAAAAUGAGCUGAGAUGGUUAGGUGUCCUAGUGGGAUGCUGGGAUGACUGAUUGGGACAGUGGAUGUUCCCCCCAUUCUUGGGAAAAGCUCGAAAAAUCCAGGAAUUGCACUAGGCGGCUCUUUGCCAUUUGACUAGGCAUCUCACAUCUCCAUCAUGUGGAGAUGCAAUAACCAAUUUUCCUCGGCGGUUGCUGACUCUGAUGCCAGGAUGCCAGAGAUUGGGCAUUCGUCUGUCAUGGGAAUUGAUGGCAAAGUGAUUUCUGAAGACAUUUCUAUGCUACCCUUUGAUCUGGUGAGUAGGGCUGUGAAGCCAGUUUACCAAAAAACCAACCACCAUUUCUAUAAAACCUAGACUAGACGUGACAUAAGCAAACAAUUAGUUUGAGACAAAUAACAGAUAGGUAAUUUCACAUUGGGGGUGUGAUGCACCUAUACAGUUAAUUGGGUUUCUACAUGUUUUGCAAUGAUUGCAUGCCUCAUCCCGGCUUUCCUCAUCCACUUGAUUUCCACUCUCGUUUCUUUUCUUUUCUUUUAGUCUUUACUUUUCUUUUGCCAUCAUCUAUUUCUCUCGAUCUUCUUAUUUUCACUCUCUUUUGUUUCUUUUCCACUUUUGCUUUCUUUUAUUUUCUUUCCUCUCUUUUCUUUUUCUUUUCUCUUAGGGUUACUGUCGAAUCUAUGGAGAUUGCUUACGUAUCAUGACCCGCAUGAAUCAGACCAAGUAUAGUUCGUGAAAAAUAAAUGUAAAUAGAAGAAAAAUGUUUUGAGACUUUUGAUUUUCAUAGAUAGCAAAUACUUUGAUUACAAAGAUUCAACGCUGACAGAUUAAAACAGCUAAUAGGCUAUGAUGAAAAGGAAAUACAGACUCCAAAAUCAACUAUCCUACUUCAAAAGAAAAUACAGACUCAAACAACCGACGGACUCUAGAAGAAAAGGAAAUAUAGACUCAAAUGAAAAUCAUGAAUACAUUAAAGCUGCUGGUGCAUGCGGGACAUUGUUCGGUCUCACUGUGGGCCUAUAUGCAAUAUCCUUUAGAAGUCUAUCCAAGUCGCUCAUUAUCUGUUUAACAAAUAUCAUUACUGCCGCAAAAAAAGGUGGUGCGAGUCAUGUUCUCGCACAUUUGGCAUUUCCUAGUAAUAUAGUGAGCAAUGGUUAGGAUCCUCCCUCUGUUUCUGCCCUUUUCUUAAAGCAACCGCCCUGUCUGUUGGGCACUGGCCCUUAAAGUCUACUCGGCUAUCAGGUUUUGUUCCUGAACUCGCUGCAAAUCCAUUUCUAAUUGCGCCAAUGCCAUGUAACAAUGCUCUCUUUCAACCUUGAAUUCUUUCGCCUGUUUGAUCAUUUUGUUCUCUAUGACGAUGACCCUUUUCUUUAAUCCCGUGACUUCAUUAUCGUACUCUUCUUUCAACUGCUUAAUCAAGUGUGCUCGUUCCUCCGCGUUUUUAUCCAAUUGCUUUCAAACCCUGGCUAAUUCUCUUUCUCAUAAGGCUACUUUUUCUUUAGCUAAUUUCUUAUUUUCACCUUUAUCGACUGCAGCCUGUAAGCUAUUUUCAAAUUAUUGACCUCAUUAUCGUACUCUUCUUUCAACUGCAUAACCAGACGUGCUCGUUCCUCCGCAUUUUUAGCCAAUUGCUUUCAAACCCCGGCUAAUUCUCUUUCUGCUUUAUUGAGGUAAAAAACUAUGGGCAUUCACUUUUUGCCUCAGAUUAUCUAUAAGAUUUGUGUCUUUGGCACUCCUGAUGGGAUCUUCGACUGCUAUCUUCAUCUUUUGAAUUUGGGCUUGUAAGGCUUCAUUUUCUUUGGUUAAUUUCUUCUUUUCACCUUUAUCGACUGCGGCUUAUAGCUAUUUUCAAAUUGAAGGUCUCGGACCUGCUUUUCCAACUCACCUAUUUUGGCCCUGUAUUCAUUCUCCUUAGCUGACCUGGCCCAUUGUUCUUGUGAUGAUUCAACAAAAUCUUGGAGGUGAGCUCUUUUGGCAGGCCUCCCUGCUACAAUUUCCCUUCUAUACCAAGCAUAAUACCCAGGUGAAACUUUUCUUUAGCUCGAUCUCGUACACAAGUAUUUGCUGCCAAGUAUUGACAUUCGCUCCAGAUCUGGCGGACUCUUGCUUCAGAAAACUGGCCAUCAGGACCAAUCUCAACUACUUGGGUACUAAGAUCCUCAUCGUUUGGCACUAUUUGGCACCUCCCGAGUUGUCUAAAAACCCGAUACGAAGCAUAAGGCUGAAUGCUCUUAAGACCCAUCAAGAGGAAGUGAGGCCCUGAAUGCUUGUAAGACCCAUCAAGAGGAAGUGAGGCCCAGUUGCUCGCAUAUAUAUGAUGUCGUCCACAGGUACCAUCCAAACGUCCACUCUAUUUGACUGGCAGUGAUAGACCGGAAGUAUGAUGUCCAUUCCUUGACCCCUUUAGGCAAGCUAAUCCUGUUAAUCCUCUUAUAAAAUUCCUCUAUGCAUGUUUUCUUUGUUGAACCAUAACUAAUGAAUUGAGGACGAUGGCAUAGAUAUUCGGUCAUCCACAUUUGCAACAACAAAUUGAACCCCUCAAAAAAGUCUCCUCUAGCUUUGCAGGCUGUGAGACAGCGGAAGAUUUCAGCUACUAUCAUGGCACAAGAGUGCUCUUGGCUUAGGUGAGUAAAGUGCUGACAACCCCGGCUAUUUUUAUGUCGAUAUUUCCAUAUUUCCUUGGGAACACCAAAAGCCCUAAGAAGACCACCGUAAAAGCAAAACGUCUAUGUUCCUCCCAUUUUGGCGGUUUCCUUUGCUACAUAUUUUGCUUUCUGGAUUGUUGAACCCUCCUAAGUGGCCAUAUCCCUGGUAUAUAAAGUGCGGAGUACAAAAUCCAGCUGCCAAAUCAGGAUUGUGGACCGUCCUGCUUAUCUUCAGUGAGUCUAAGAAUCUGUGCAUAGCUACGAUUCUAGGGGAAAUCAAAUACUUGUGCCUUAAAGGAACCUCAGCACUCCCAAUGUAUCAGGCUAUUUCCUCUAGGGUCGGGGUGAGUUCAAAAUCUGAAAAAUGGAACACGUUGUGCAGCUCCCAGCAUGUGACCGAUGCCCUUAUGAUGUCUCCCCCAGGCUUAAUCUCCAUCAAAGCAAUAAGACCUUUCAAAUAUUUUUUGACCUCGUCUUUCCCUUCUUCACAUAGAUCAUUCCACCACAGAGGCAACUCCAGAGAGAUUUUGUUCAUAAUGAGAAAGGUUCAUUUUGAAUUAUGCUCAUCCUGCACAUUUGUUAAGGUGAUUUAAUCACUUAUUUUGACCUAAAACAAAAAGAAAAAUUGGUUUUGUAAAUACGGCCUUUCAGCACUUCAGGAAGAAGAUUUUAAAGAUGUGCCAGCUAGCCCAAGGUGGUUGUUCUUGCAAAACAACCUUCUGGCAUCUUUUUGGGGGCAUGCAACUUAUUUUAAAGAAGAAUGGAAUCACCCGACAAAAUUAAAAAAAAUUUUUUGUUGUUUUUGGGCUAUUUUUGCAAAAAGGGAAGUUGAAUCAGAUAGGGGUUACCUACGUAUCUCACAUCAGUUGAGAAUCAAACUAGCGUAGUUCGGGCAGAUUUGACAAAACCAACUAUUUUUGAAAAACUUUCUUUUUCUUUGAUUUUCUAAAAAAAUUGGCACAGUUUUGAUAAUAUUUGGGUAUUGGGUUUUUCGAAACAGGUGACUAACUCACUCAACCCUGACACUAUUAUUCUUUUCUCUUUUUUUCUUUUUCUUUUCAAAUUUCUCCCAUUAUUUACAGGCCGGUCCGCAUGCCGACCGAAGCAAAUAAAUGCAUAAAUAGCAAGUAGGAUGCAUCAGGAUGAUCUUUUCAUUUCAGGUCAGCUGUUCUAGACGGACCCAACCCCUGUGUUGAGUCCCUUAGGUCAAAUACAGGUGAUGCAAGCAAGCGUACCUACUAGGGAUCCGGCAGGAGGUCGAGUUAUUCUAGGUUCAAAACCUGGGUAUAUGUUCUAGACUGUGUACCCGAGCAGACAACUCAAGUCGAGGAUGAGGCUAUGUACCGGGAACCAAAAGGCCAUCCAGAUUAGUAACUUGUCUGACCUCCUUCUUACUUUAAGGUAUGACACUAAUAGAAUAGAGAUACUCGACCAUUUGAGCACAUCCCCGAAGAUGAGAAGAGAAAUGUUUCGUAACAAUUUUAUAUAUACAAUUCAGGUAAUAUCAAAGCAGUAAUGCACUUAGCACGUUAGGAUGAAAUAUGUAGGAAAAUCAGAUAAUAAAUAAAGCCAAGUAUACUAGCUAUUCUAAGCUCGAAUUCUUUAACCAUGAACUGAAGUUCUGGGUUUUCUAUCUCCAGCAGAGUCGCCCGAGCUGUCACACCUCCUCCAACAAAGGAAAAUUGGGCUUUUAGAGCUACUGACUUAUUUCCAAAAAUUGUAUUCAUCGAUUAGUACCAAAAGGAAAAUUUUAGAUCCAUUCAAUUCAUCAAUUUCCAAUUUAAUUCUAAAUUUUACAUUCAGAUCAUAUAUAAGCUAAUGAAUUUCUACAAACAUUUAGAGAAUUCGAUGAUUAAAUUAAUGUAAUCAAGACUUAUAUUGAAACAUCAAAUACAACAAUACUUACUAUACUGAAGUGCUAUUAUUGAUUUCAAAAAAAAAAAUGCUGGAAUUAGAACUGAAUAAUAGAGCCAUUUGCGUAUCUGUUAGACUUAAAACUUAAACGUAAUCUUAACAUUUAAAGCUACAUGACCUACUUUUUCAUAGCAGCAUGAGUGCACAUGUUCAUUAAGAACUCUGCUCCUAACACUUUAGUCUAGCUUAAACUUGAAAUCAACAUGAUAGCCAAACUGAAAUUGAUUAAACUAUAGUUAAGAAAAACAGUCCAUACACUUACAAUUAAUACAAAGGCAGUUGUUCAAAUAACACUACUAAGCUAAGCACCUAAGUCAAAAUAAAUAAUAAAAAAGAAAAAUCGUGGGAAAACAAGUGAUUAUUCAGUAGUGUACUUCAAAUGUGUUCAUACAUGUUGAUCCAAUCUUCGACAUCACUUGAGGCAAAAGAAAAAAUGUACCUGCAAAUGAAAAUAAGGGAGAAGUAAGAGGCCGCAAGUUCAGCAGCAACAAUGUAAUAGGAACAUGCAACUUAAGAUUAGUUUUAAACCCCAAAAAUUGUAUCAAGCAGCCCAGUUAUUAGUUCAGAUGAACAAAAUCAGUAAAACACCCCAAAACAAACUCGAAUGAACCCUAUUAAACUCAACAAUGAUUCCGGGAAAUUCUGAAGCUUCAAUUAACAGCACACAAGGAAAAUAUCAAGCCAUCUUCAACUUUAGAUAGGCUGGAGUUUUAAUUCAGAAGUUGUAGCUUAAGAUCACUCUAAGAAUUUCAAUAGAAUAGUGAUUUUCUAAGGUUUUGGUCGCUUGAAAUUUCUAAUCUCUUUUCCGUGUAUUUUUUAUGCCUUCCACCCUCUAAAAUCUCUCCCGGAUCUGACUUGCAAGGCAAGUUCCUGAUGCCUUUAUAGGCAAUUAGGUAGGGCAACCUUCAGCUUCUAUUUUUACCCUUUUAUCCUUUUAAUUUUCUAUUUUUAGCUAGUUAGUCCCUUAAUUAUUGACUUGUUGGUCAAGUAAUACUAUCAAGUUCUGGAAUUUCAAAUUAAAACCCCAUCUAGAAGGUUCUAGUGGUUUUCAAUUUCAAUUACUGCACUAUUCUAUAUUUGAUUACCUAUAUUACCCCUGAAUUCAUACUAAAAUUACUAACCUAUGUCAAACUAACCCUGACCCUUUUAAACUUGGUCAAAUAACCAUGGUUAAUCAAUCAAGGGCUGGAAACUAUUCAACUAUAACCAAACAAAGCCUAAUUAUCAAUACCCCUAAAUCAAUCUACCAAAAUCUAUCUAACCUAGUUAGAACAUAAAUUAAUGCUAAUUAACAAUGUGUCCUAAGGCUAAAUUUAUUUUUAAAAACUAACAAUUAAAAGCAAGCAAACAAAACUAAUACUAUACUGUGAAAAAUAGCGAAAUAAGCAAAAAAAAUGUAAAGAAAAAAAACAAACUUGGAAUCAUACAAUUAAAAUCAAAAAAACAAUCAAAGCGCUAACAAUGAAAACUAAAUUAAACUAUAUGGCUGUAAAAUCAGAACCCUAAAUCAAAUCCCCAACUCAAACGCAAAAAGAAAAUAAAAAUAAAAAGAAAUUAUAAGUAAAAAUAGAAGAAUGAAAAAUAACCAUCAUGAAUGAACAUAAAAACAGAAAACAUGGUGAAAAAAUGAAAUACCUCGGAAUUUCGGCUUGGACUCGAACACUGGUAUAUUUUCUUGGAUUUAAUCGGACUACAACCAUCCCUAAUCAGGUGUUUUCAUGAGAAAACACAUGAUUAAGGGCUGCUAUAGUCCAUAAAUCAAUACCCCCCCCCCNNNNNNNNNNNNNNNNNNNNNNNNNNNNNNNNNNNNNNNNNNNNNNNNNNNNNNNNNNNNNNNNNNNNNNNNNNNNNNNNNNNNNNNNNNNNNNNNNNNNNNNNNNNNNNNNNNNNNNNNNNNNNNNNNNNNNNNNNNNNNNNNNNNNNNNNNNNNNNNNNNNNNNNNNNNNNNNNNNNNNNNNNNNNNNNNNNNNNNNNNNNNNNNNNNNNNNNNNNNNNNNNNNNNNNNNNNNNNNNNNNNNNNNNNNNNNNNNNNNNNNNNNNNNNNNNNNNNNNNNNNNNNNNNNNNNNNNNNNNNNNNNNNNNNNNNNNNNNNNNNNNNNNNNNNNNNNNNNNNNNNNNNNNNNNNNNNNNNNNNNNNNNNNNNNNCAAUUUUGAGAAGCUAGGGUUUCAAGCCAAAAUUUGAUCUAAGAUUCGGUCCAUGCGAGGAUGAUUCGAAGGCUACGGGUAGUGAUUCAGAAAGAGGGGGUGAGGAGGUCAUAUAGUGUUAAUUUGGUGAGACUUGGAGGUGGCACCGCCGGACACGGCGGAGCCAACGGCCACGAUUUCGAAUAUUCGACCACUUUGGCUAGGAUUUAAAGGAAACUAGACUUGGAUUUGAAAAGAAGAGGUGAAUGAGAAGGUAGAGUGUAAUUUUGGGGUAAUUUGGAGACUCGCCGCCGGUGGCGGACGGCGGAAGGACGAUGGUGCUAGGGUUUCUGGUGAGAGGGGACUAAGACAAUUAGGGCAGUGGGUUCUAGGGGGGUGGUGCUGCUUGGAUAAUAAUAUAUCAACCAACCCUCAGUUCCUGACCGUUCGAUUAAAGAACCUAGACAGUCAGGAUCAAAAUGCCCCAAAUGAUGUCGUUUUAAUGUUCGGGGGCUAUACCAGGUGAGAUUGGGUUUGGACCGGGUUUUGAACGGGUCUAGAGAAGGGAUUAGAAUGGGCUGGAUCAAAUUGGGCCGAAAAACCGGGUAUUUAAUGAGAUUGCCAUUUUUCUUUUAAUUUUAAUUUUUUAAAUUUUCUCUACUUUUCUUGUAUAUUAUUUUUAUUAUUUAUAUUUUUUGAUUUUGUUAAAUACAAAAUUAAAAUAAUAAAGACCUGAUGUAACUCUAAAAUUAAACUAAUUGAUUUUAAAUGUUUUUUAACUAAAUCCUAUUUUUAAAAGAAAACUAAGCAAAAUAUCAAAAAAAAAAUAUUAAAAGUAAAAUGCAAAAGGACUAUUUUUGGUUAUUUUCUUAUAUUUUUUGUAAUGUUAAUUAACAAAUAAACCUAAAAAUAUUAAAAUAAGGUCCUAAAUGCAGAUGUGCUUUUAUUGUAUUUUUAUGAAUAUAUCAAAACAUAAAUGCAAACAAAUACAAAAUCAUGCAAUUAAUUCCCUAAAAUUAAAUAGUUAAAAAAAUUCCUAAUUUCUAUGAAUUCUAUAGAAGUAAUUUAAGCGAGGCAAAAAUCAUGUGGUCAUAGUACCUUUUCUUGAACUAGAGGUUCCUUUUCUUAAAGGUCUUCGUCUAGAAGUAAAGAACCUUCUGAGCCCUUACGUGAGCCUUUGGUUGAAGAGAUAUUUCCAACAGAGCUAUCUUUUUACCAUGAUAAGGAAUCUCUUAGAAACCAAGUCGCUACCUUAGAUCGUGUCAAUUCCUUUCCAACUCAAAUUACAGAAAUUUUAGCUCUCAUAGUUCGUAAAGACUGUCACUGGAGCGGUGAUUUUUCCAUUAUUAUUCCCAAUCCAAAUAGAGUAUUACUCUUUACAUGAUUGGAUUCUCAUUUGUUUAUACAUACCCUUUCACUUUAGGGUUCAAACUAGUCAUCGACCCGGUCAUUCUAGAUUUUUUUCCGUUUUUCAAUGUCUGCUUGGGUCAGAUUGGUCCAAUUGUAUGGAGGGCGGUUGCCUAUUUGGGGCAUCUUGCCAAUAUGGCAAAUGUUAGCUUUACUUUCCCUCACCUAAUUCACCUCUAUUCCUCCAGGCUUUUCCGCAAUGGCAUUUUUACCCUAGCAAUCAGGAGCAAGAGGGUUUUAGUGUG
rnacentral:lncRNA from 1 species